AAACGGGAGGAGGACGAGGGCGGGUACAAACAUGUGGACGAACGUGUGGAACCAGGACCAGGAGGAGCUGGAGGAGGACGAGGAGCAGCGGGGACAGUUGGAGAUCUUCUUGCGUGGCAGGUAAGCACUGGUGAUCUGGUUCAUGACCACCAGGGCGGGAAAGAAGGGCAGCAGGAGGAAGACCCACCACACCACCCCUUUCACUGUGGCCUGGAACCAGUCCGAGAACAUGGCCGAC